AGGUAUGACCAUGCUAUCUUGAACCCACGUGAUCUCAUCUGUUCUUAGAACCUAAGCAGUGUUGGUUCUGGUUAGUACCUGCAUGGGGAGACUCAGUGGCCUUGAUAUUUG
rnacentral:rRNA from 14 species